rnacentral:rRNA from 1 species
UACGAAGGGUGCAAGCGUUACUCGGAAUUACUGGGCGUAAAGCGUGCGUAGGUGGUUUGUUAAGUCUGUUGUGAAAGCCCCGGGCUCAACCUGGGAAUGGCAUUGGAUACUGGCAGGCUAGAGUGCGGUAGAGGGUAGUGGAAUUCCCGGUGUAGCGGUGAAAUGCGUAGAGAUCGGGAGGAACACCAGUGGCGAAGGCGGCUACCUGGACCAGCACUGACACUGAGGCACGAAAGCGUGGGGAGCAAACAGG